rnacentral:rRNA from 1 species
AGUGAACGCUGGCGGCAGGCCUAACACAUGCAAGUCGAGCGGAAGCGCGGGGACAACCCUGGCCGCGUGCGGCCGACGGACGAGGAAUUAGUCGGUGGAUGCCCUACCGUGAGGGCUAACGUAACGAAACGAAAGCUAAUAUCGCAUACGUUAUAAGUGUGAACGGGGGGGACCGCAAGUGAUAACGCAUCUAGAUGAGCCGACGAGAGAUUAGCUAUUUGGUGUGGUAAAGGCGUACCAAGGCGACGAACGGUAGCUGGUCUGAGAGGAUGAUCGGCCACACUGGAACUGAGACACGGCCCAGACUCCUACGGGAGGCAGCAGUGGGGAAUAUUGGGCAAUGGGCGCAAGCCUGAUCCAGCAAUGCCGCGUGAGUGAAGAAGGCCUUCGGGUUGUAAAGCUCUUUUGUCCGGAAAGAAAACACGGGUGCUAAACCCUUCGGAGCAUGACGGUACCGAAACAGUAAGCCCCGGCUAACUUCGUG